GAGAGACGGCAGCCUGGCGAUGGCAGGAACUUCCCAGAUGGCGAGGCGGCCUUCCUUGGCACUCCAUGUGGAUCCUCCCCGCUGGGCAUCCGAGAGCUGAGUCGGAGGCUGCGAAUUGCAGAGGGGCUGAAAGUGGGGUGCCGGGUCGGGACUCUGGACCUGGGGUUAUGGAGUCAGCUUUGGGGACGGGGAGGUCCAGGCUGUGGCCCCUUAGGCCACGUGAAGGGAGAGCCUCACUUUUGUUCACAGUGCUGAGGUGUGCAGGACAGAGCAGUCCCGGGGCGUGUCCCAUCACUUGUCCAUCGUGCCUUCUGUGUCUUUUGUGCCUCUCCUGUUGUAUGUGCCUCGCCUUAUCUCUUCUGGGGGCUUACCAGAAACCCCAGUGUCACUCGUAGCAUCUCUGAUCUCUGGGCUCCUCAGCCCGACACCAUCGAAGCUUUGCCUCGGGAGCUCUCAGAGGCCUUGGAAUCGCGUCUCUCUUUUAAAAGCAUCCGAUCGGAUGUCUUUUAGAGGUCUUGUUCCGAGCUGUGUCAACAGCCGUGCGCCGCGAGGAUCCAUUGCUGCGGCUUAGGUCUUGAAGAAACGCAGAGAUAGGUAGGGGGCUGUGGCCCUAAAAUUCUCGGGCAUCCGUCUUGGCAGUUGCUGGAGUUUGUCAUUCCAUCAGCAUCUUCUUCCUCCCGGGUUCUGUGAGCUUCAUCAGCUCGCCUUCGUUCUCACCCGGCUCAUCUUGUUCCGCGUUCUCUCGGUCCUUGCGGCCAUUCUUGUGGCCCAGAGUUUUGUCUCCCCGUUGUGUCCCCUCGUCUGUUGUCUUGUGUGUCACGGGUGUCUGGGUGUAGUUGUCCCAGAGCUGCUCUGUCCUGCUGCCCAGCCUGGGUGUAGGUGUAAAAGGCCAAGUCCUAGGCCCCUGUUAUUUGAAAUUUGUGAUGUAGGGUGUAGUUGGAGUCUAGCGGGUGUUCCUAGAUUGACACAAGAUGUCUGGAGCUGUGAAGUUACCCUGCAGCACUUUGACUUUUGUCUCAGCUUUCUUUCAGAUGCGGACGGAUGAAAUCGGUGGCAGAGCGCCCCAUCCAGGGUAAGGGGGUUCCCGCGAGAAGGAAGUGAAGCCGGCUAGCAGCAGUCAAGGCGAAGUGGGCAAGGCGGUCCAGUCGCAUUUCGCCGAGACGUCCUCUCCAACCAACCGGCCGGCACAGCUGUUUCACCGCUCCCGUGAGCCCUGCGGAAACAUUACGGGACCGUGUGACGGAGCCUUUUCCACGUAAAGGGGCCGUGUGGGUGGCCUUCAGGAACGGGCCGAGGGGUUGCCGCGCGCCCUGCGAUGACGGCGUCCGGCUCCCGGUGUGGCCGAAGCGCGCGGCCUCAGGACGUGGCCGUUCGCAGGAGACCAAGACAACAGCCCGGCGAUGGCAGGAACUUCCCGGAUGGCGAGGCGGCCUUCCUUGGCGCUCCAUGUGGAUCCUCCCCGCUGGGCAUCCGAGAGCUGAGUCGGAGGCUGCAAAUUGCAGAGGGGCUGAAAUCGGGGUGCCGGGUCGGGACUCGUGACCUGGGAUUAUGGAGUCAGCUUUGGGGACGGGGAGGUCCAGGCUGUGGCCCCUUAGGCCACGUGAAGGGAGAGCCUCACUUUUGUUCACAGUGCUGAGGUGUGCAGGACGGAGCAGCCCCAGGGCGUGUUGUAUCACUUGUCCAUUGUGCCUUGUGUGUCUUUUGUGCUUCUCGUGUUGUACGUGCCUCGCCUUAUCUCUUCUGGGGGCUUACCAGAAACCCCGGCGUCACUCGUACCAUCUCCGAUCUCUGGGCUCCUCAGCCCGACACCAUCGAAGCUUUGCCUCGGGAGCCCUCAGAGGUCUUGGAAUCGCGUCUCUCUUUUAAAAGCAUCCGAUCGGAUGUCUUUUAGAGGUCUUGUUCCGAGCUGUGUCGA